AUGACCUCGAUUCAGCCAGCG
rnacentral:misc_RNA from 1 species